UUUAAAUCUUAAUAUUAAUUUUUCUAAAAGAAAUAUUUUUUGAUAAGGCAAAAGUAAGUAAUAAAAUUCAAGUGAGGGCUUGAACCCUUAUACAGCCAAAGUGCAAAAAUUACACAAAAGAAAGACAGACAAGUAUAGCCACAACAGGCCAACUAUUGAUAUUUCUUUAAAAGAAAUAUUGAUAUUAAUUAUACAUUAGAUAUUUAUAUUAACAAAUUGUUGAUUGAAAAAUCAACAGUACUUUCAUGUAAUAUUCAUAAUUAACAUGAUCAAUUUCUUCUUCUCUAAGUUAAAAAAUACAAGAAGAAGCUAUGAACAUGACCUAUAAACCAUAAAUAUUUUUGCCCUAAUGAGAUAGGCUUUAAAUAAUGCUUGUGGAGGUGUAAUUAGUAGUAUCAUCAACUUGAAUAGGCUUCAAAUAAACCGUAUCUUUUAGAGAGCUGUGGGUUCUACCAUAGAAUACAUAAACAAAAACUCCUAAUACUAGCCAUACAGAUACUCGCACCCAAGUUGCACCCCUUCAAAAAUAUAAAACACAAAUUAUAGAAUUAGUUAAUAAAGUUGUGACAUUAAAGGGACAAAAAAAGGUCCUUGUGAGAGAAAAAUGCUAUAGCAAAUAAAAUUCAUAAAUGAUAUGUUAGAUAUUUUAUUAGACUAAUUCAACUCUAUAAAAUUGACUUGUAAUAUAUCAACUUGUAAUGUUAGAAUUGUCAAAGUCUUAUAAACUUCAUUUUGGGUCUAAUUUAACAUGGAUUUGAGUUCUAAAUAUCCUCAAUACUCUCUUCACCCUUAAAAACACAAUAUAAUUUUUUAUUUUUUAUUUUUUUAAAACACUAUAACAUUUUUCUUUUUCUUUUUUUUAAAAAAGUAAUGUUUUUUUACUAGGGGACCUAUCUUUACAAUUAGAGCCAAAGCCUCCAAUUUUAUAGGAACGGCCCUGAAUCUAGUCAGCACCUUUAAUGGGGUUUCCUCCUCUUAACCAUAUUUUAUUUCAUCAACAAUACUCGAACCCAAUACUUUGCUUAAGAGAUCCGAUUCAAUUACACUCGAACCAAUGUAAUAUUGAUCUUUUGUGAUAAUUUCUUUAGAGGAGUAAAUUAAUGUUAUUCUAACUUUCAGGGUUAACAAACUAAUGUCCUCAAAGACUGACUUAAUCUCACUUGAUCUUUUAGAAAUAUAUUAGAUUUCUUUAAAAAAUAUUGAACAGAAAGUCAUAUAUACUUUCAAAUUUCAAUAUAGAUACUUACCCAAGACUAAUGAGUAAAUAUGAAUUGAUAAGAAUGCAAGUUAUAGGAAGCAAAGGCACCCAUGGACAUGUGAAACCUGAAAACAAAUUGCAUAGAAACAUGACAUUAACUCACAUUGGUUGCAUAAAAUAUUACCAUAAAUAAAUGUAAACCAUACCUCCAGUGUUUCCAAAGUUGUGUCUUGCAUCAUCUUGAUCUAUACAUGUUAGGAAGACUAAGCCAGACAGAAGAAGAAUGCUACCAACUCCACAUAAUGUAAAUCUAACAUAACUGAAAAUAACAAAACAUAAAAUGUGAUUUUAGUUAUUCUUCUAGAAAUACUUAAAUGGUAUGCAACAUUAAUAAAGUAUAUAAUGUAAAUGCUACCCUCUAAACUAACCUCAGAAGAUAUGUAGAAGAAGCUGCAAAUGUAAGGACAAAUACACCUAAACAUAUGACUGCUACAACACAGCCCACAAUUGUUCUCCUAUUAACAUUAUGUACAUCUGCAUCCAUAAAUUAGAGGGAAAUAACUAAAACGAAACUAUAUAUAAUAACAAUAAAUUAGUGUAACUAAAGGAACAUUAAUUGCAUAUGUAGAGCAAUAAAUGUUAUAAUUUGCACCGACACAAACACUGAACACGACACUAGUACGUCAACACAAAUACAAUUUUAGAAAAUUGUUUAAUUUAAUGUAACCGCGUGUGUUUUUUUUUACCGCGAUGGUGUCGGACACUGACAUGUGCCCAACACCGAUACAUGUCCAACAUCAGGCGACAUGCCUUCAACGUGAUUUUGCAUGAUUGAGAAACUAAAUAGAAAAUAAAAAUCAGGACUUACAGUUAUCUAUUGCAAGAUUUUUAUCAAUUAAGGGUUUUUGGAUCGCUUCUUUUUCAUUUGUCUCCAAAUGGCUCCAACCAUACUCCAUUGACUCAGAAUCAAUUGGUUCUUGUUGAGAAUGGGGCAAUGGGACUUCAAUUGGUGGGAUAUAUCUUACUAUCAACACAGAUAUUGCUGCAAUGGUGAAUGCAAGAAGAGUACCAACACUAACCUGUAGAAGACAAGCAAAAUACACUUUAGUACUAUAAUCUAUUAUUUUAAAAACCGGACCGAACUGGCCAGAUUCAAUAUGUUAAACAUAAAACCGGCUAGUUCGUCAAUCGGUUUGUUUUCGGUUAUACUGCAGUCUGGUUGAACCACAAUCCAAUUGCAGUUGGUUCAACCGGUUGAGCCGCUAUUUCUAACAACUGCAAAUAUAGAUUAGACUUACCAUGCCAGCAAGUUGAGAGACAUCCAUGAAAAAUGCCAAGGCGGCAGCAACAAGGCCGGUAACUAUGGUACUCUUUACAGGAACAUGGCUGUGCUUAUUUAUAUCAGAAAAAAAUGGUGGCAGCAAUCCGUCCCUUGCCAUAGCCAUCAAAAUUCUUGGCUGAGAGGCAUUAAAUAAAAAGCACAUCAAUAAUUCAGCUUAAAUUUUGUUUUAGUGGAUCAUUGAUUUACUUGGAGAUAAUUUUUAUUAGGCUGAUUAUUAUAUACUUAUAGUAGGAAUUUUCUUUUUUAAAUGAAAAUUUUCGAAAAAAGAGAAGGAAUACCAAGAAACCUCAUUGAGUUUAUUUUAUUAGAGUUUAGUACUCUCUGUUUGUUUGUUAGUUUGUUUUCUUGAUGGUUGUGUUAGUGUACAUAUUAUUUUAUUUAAGUUAAUCCUUUUCAAGCCAUGUUAGUCUUAGGAGGUUGGAACAGAUGAAUGAAGCUUGUCUGAUCAAGCUAGGUUGGAAAUUGAAGAAUGGAGAUAAUGCACUUUGGUGUAGUGUGCUAAAAUGCAAGUAACAUUUCUUUGAAUAUGGUGAUAGCUAGACCGAGUGAUUCUAGUCUAUGGAAAAACUUGGUUCAUUUGUGGCCAACUAUGUGUUCUAUGGUGCGCUAGGUUGUUCGAAAUGGUGAAAGAGUUUGGGAGGAUUUAUGGGUGGAUCAAGGGUUGCGAUUUCUGAUACGGACAGUAGCAUACCAUCUGAUAUGUGUGAGUGUGACUGCAAAGCUUUAGACUUUGUCGACAUUGAUGGAGGUUGGCGGCUACACGAUCUGCAGCAGUAGCUGUCAAUUGAUAUUGUUAACAAAAUCAAAUCUAUACCAGCCCCUCAUGAAGAGCUUGGCCCGGAUAAUUGAAUGUGGCCUGGAGCUAAGUUGGUGAAUUUUUCAUAUCAUACACUUAUCAUGAAUUAUGUGGUUUCUUUAUUGAUAAUGUGUCUAAUGUUUGGACUCACGUGCGUGUGGAAAUUAAAAGUUCCAGAGAGGAUUCAAUGUUGUGUGGAUAUCAUAGAAUGCAUAUCAGUACGGAGCAUUGCUAUCAUUGUGGAGACAUCGCGGAAACAGCUUUACAUGAACAUGAAAUUUAACAGAAAUUGCAAAACAAAAUUUGAGGAGAAGAGGGUUCCAAUUAGUUUUACCUGAGGCAACAUUCCACCAAGCAAUGAUGAACAAAGUGCUGUGAUAGCCCCGGCAUUUAUAAUGUAUCUGUAAUUACAAUCAUGAAAAAUGACUUAAGAAAACUAAUGCAUACUCAGAAAAUGGUAUUUUAAGAAUAUUUAUACACAAAAUGGACACAUUGAAUACGCUACGUAGAAAUUCGUAAUAGAGUUGCAAAAUUGUAAAACUUACGCAGCCCAUUGCAUUCCAUUGACAGCAAAAGCAGAAGAUAUAGGGGUGUUAGGAUUGAUAUCAUAGUAAGGUACUAAACCAACCACAACAAUGGAUACUAUCAUAUACAAUCCACAACAUAGUGACAAUGAAGCUGCAAUUCCUAGUGGCAAAUCUCUCUGAGGAUUUUUCACCUGUUAAAUCAAAGUAAAACACUAUUAGACAGUUUGAACAUACUCUCAAGGUUUUUGAUGUGCUGCGACNUUUUUUUUUUCUUUUCACAAUUAAGAUUAUUGGAUGACUUUUGAAAAAAAUAAUAACGUUGUUUCUUAACUUAUGCAGCCGGUUGUCAGGUAAAUAAAUAAGGAAAUUGGAUGACGUGGCAAUUUAUUAUUGGUGUGUGUUAAAAGGGUGUGUCCCUAGCAUUUCUCAAAAAAAUAUCCAAGUUUUAUGUUUUUAAUUAGUGUUCUUUAAUUUUCUCAAAAUAAAAAAUAUAAUUAUAUUUUAUAAAUUAUCCAUCAUGAGAACUUGUGUUCUAUGAAAAUAAAAGCUUUGUUAAAAAAAAGCUUACUAUUGAAUUCAUGGUCUGAUUGAAUUCUUUGGUCAAAAUUGACGUUAUGAAGUCAAAGUUGUGGAAUUCAAGUGAGUAAGCUCUCCUACUGCAUGUGCUAUGGCACGUGUGUGUUUUUUUGUGCAGCAUCUCUGAUAAAAUUUUAUGUGAUCAAUUAUUUGGUCAAGAUUCUUAUAAAAGAAAUUGAAAGACAAUAAAAAAUAUUACUACCUCCGGUCCUAUUUAUAAGAGAAAUUUAGGUCAACAUAAAUGAAUGUAUUUGGACUGAAUUUUUAACUAGAUACAUCAACUUUUGUUGACCCAAAAUUCUCUUAUAAAUAGGACCGGAGGGAGUAUUUACUAAAAUUGACGUUAUUAUGUUACAAAAACUUUCUUUACCGAAGAUGAAUGUUAUGGUGCAGAGAAAUGCUAGCAAUACAUAUUUUAACACACAUUUUUUAAUAUAUUAUUUUUUAUUGAUUAAAAUUCAUAUGAGAUCCGGCAAAUUUAUACGGGACCCACCAAAUUUUGCGGGACAUAUGUGAAUUUUAACCAAUCAAAAAGAUUGUGUUGGAAAGUAUGUGUUAGAAUGUGGGUUGCUAGCAUUCCGUCCGUGAAACUUCUUCAAGAAUGACAUCUUGUAUGAAUCUUCUUAGCAAAUUGUUUUUGCGAUAUGCUAACAUAUGUCAUCAUAUGCCAUUACAGAAUAUGUUAAGGAUCCUAUAAAUAUCAAGUAUCUAUUGAGAAUAACUAUUGUUUCAAAUAUAAUGCUAACUGGAACGAGUUCUACAAGUGAUAUUUGUUCCCUCGACAAAAAAAAAAUGUUUGUGGUAUUCCUCUCUCACCAAACUCAAUACAAACCUCAGUAGACAUGAAAGUUUUGCAUAGGGGUGGCAAAACGAAUCUAAUCCGUCGUGUCAGCCCGUUUAGCCAAUUAUUUUUGGUAGAUUGAGUCAAAAUUUUGAACUCAUUUUUUACAGUUGGUUCGUUCCACUUAACUCGUUAAAACAAUGGGGCGGGGAGGGCCGUCCCGGUCUGCUUAACUCAUUUUUCUUUUAUUUUUAGACUUAUUUUAUCAUUUUGGAUUUAUUUUGGUUGUUAGAUUUAUUUUAUGAUUUAUUUUUUGUUGCAAAUUUGUUUUAUGUUGGCGGAUUUUCCUUCUUUUGCUAUUAAGUAUAAUUUUAAGUUCGACAAUUUGUUAAUUAUCUUGUUUUUACCACAAAUUUAUUUGUCGCCUAUUCUUUUAUAUUUUUUCAUGAUUAAAGCAACAUAGUAUUUUGUAACAUUAAAUUGUAAAAAAAAAAUGCAUUAAAAAAAUUUGUUUUUUUCUCACAAAAAAAAAAAUUGUUUGGUAGACCGGCCCGCCAACUCAUCUACCCAUCACUAAACGAGGCGGGGGUGAAAUUUUGGUCUUGAUCACCUAAUUUGAUUCGGUUUGUCUCGUCCUGUUUUAAGCAAGUUUAGACGGAAUAGACUGGUCCACUUUAUCAUCCCUAAUAUUACAUUACCGAUUAUAUUGGACUCGACCUAAAGUUAGAGGAGUCAAUCUAAUGAAUUUAAUUUGUCCUCUCUUUAAAACAAUUCAUAAAAACUCAAUAAAGCGAGUUUUUAAAUCUUAAUAUUAAUUUUUCUAAAAGAAAUAUUUUUUGAUAAGGCAAAAGUAAGUAAUAAAAUUCAAGUGAGGGCUUGAACCCUUAUACAGCCAAAGUGCAAAAAUUACACAAAAGAAAGACAGACAAGUAUAGCCACAACAGGCCAACUAUUGAUAUUUCUUUAAAAGAAAUAUUGAUAUUAAUUAUACAUUAGAUAUUUAUAUUAACAAAUUGUUGAUUGAAAAAUCAACAGUACUUUCAUGUAAUAUUCAUAAUUAACAUGAUCAAUUUCUUCUUCUCUAAGUUAAAAAAUACAAGAAGAAGCUAUGAACAUGACCUAUAAACCAUAAAUAUUUUUGCCCUAAUGAGAUAGGCUUUAAAUAAUGCUUGUGGAGGUGUAAUUAGUAGUAUCAUCAACUUGAAUAGGCUUCAAAUAAACCGUAUCUUUUAGAGAGCUGUGGGUUCUACCAUAGAAUACAUAAACAAAAACUCCUAAUACUAGCCAUACAGAUACUCGCACCCAAGUUGCACCCCUUCAAAAAUAUAAAACACAAAUUAUAGAAUUAGUUAAUAAAGUUGUGACAUUAAAGGGACAAAAAAAGGUCCUUGUGAGAGAAAAAUGCUAUAGCAAAUAAAAUUCAUAAAUGAUAUGUUAGAUAUUUUAUUAGACUAAUUCAACUCUAUAAAAUUGACUUGUAAUAUAUCAACUUGUAAUGUUAGAAUUGUCAAAGUCUUAUAAACUUCAUUUUGGGUCUAAUUUAACAUGGAUUUGAGUUCUAAAUAUCCUCAAUACUCUCUUCACCCUUAAAAACACAAUAUAAUUUUUUAUUUUUUAUUUUUUUAAAACACUAUAACAUUUUUCUUUUUCUUUUUUUUAAAAAAGUAAUGUUUUUUUACUAGGGGACCUAUCUUUACAAUUAGAGCCAAAGCCUCCAAUUUUAUAGGAACGGCCCUGAAUCUAGUCAGCACCUUUAAUGGGGUUUCCUCCUCUUAACCAUAUUUUAUUUCAUCAACAAUACUCGAACCCAAUACUUUGCUUAAGAGAUCCGAUUCAAUUACACUCGAACCAAUGUAAUAUUGAUCUUUUGUGAUAAUUUCUUUAGAGGAGUAAAUUAAUGUUAUUCUAACUUUCAGGGUUAACAAACUAAUGUCCUCAAAGACUGACUUAAUCUCACUUGAUCUUUUAGAAAUAUAUUAGAUUUCUUUAAAAAAUAUUGAACAGAAAGUCAUAUAUACUUUCAAAUUUCAAUAUAGAUACUUACC
rnacentral:lncRNA from 1 species